rnacentral:lncRNA from 10 species
UCACUGCCCGGGGCCGCCAGCGCCGGCCGGCCGCUCGGAGUGUGGGGCCCGCCAAGCCCACGCCCACCCGGAACUCUCGCUGGUCCGCAAGCGCCGCGCGCAGCCCUGGUUCCCGCCCAUGCCUCUCCCUCCACACCACCCCGCAAGCUGAGGGAGCGGGUUGCGGCCUUGGCCAGUCCAGAAAGGGGCUCCCACAGUGCAGCGGUGGGCUGAAGGGCUCCUCAAGUGCAGCUGGAGUGGGCACCAGGGCCGAGGAGGUGCUCAGAGCGAGUGAGGGCUGCGAGGGCUGCCAGCAUUCUGUCACCUCUCAUCAUGAGAUCGGAUGGAUUUAUCAGGUGUUUCCAGUUUUGCUUCUUCGUCAUUUUCUGUCUUGUCGCCACCAGAUAAGAAGUGACUUUCGCCCUCUGCCAUGAUUGUGAGACCUCCUCAGCCACGUGGAACUUCUUUGAGUAUGCUCAGCGCGUGCCAUCAUGGGGCCAUGUUCUUCCCCUUUGCUCUUGGAGAAUAGACAAAGCUACCCAGCCCAGCCACAGCCUCAUAAUCUUGUUCUACCUCCCUCUCCAGCCUCAACUAUUUCCAGGCUCCAGCUCAAGUCAUACAUCAGUUGUGUGCCAUGUGUGGAUGUGCACCAAGAGAGAUGAAGCCAUAUCUUCUACAACUCUUCAGUUUUUGAAAUUCAGAAGUUUCAAGAUUACGUUGACUGAAGUAGAUCAUAUUUGGCAAAGCUGUAGGUGACAGGGAAAGUUAAUCAACUGGAAGGAAAUGGAAGGGAAGAAUGUGGUCUACCUCUUCUCUCUCUACUUGAAAUUCAAGCAAGACCUUGGAGAAUACAGGUGGAGCUGGACCUGCAACCGGUGAUUGAACUACCAGUUUCUGAAGGCCACCCAUUCACACCUAUUUCCCGCUACUCCAGGUAAGACACUCACGGCAGGCAGUCUCCCGGGAAACAGAAGUCUCUAUUUGUUACCAUCAUCGUCUGGCUCAUGAUCCUAAUGAGGACCAAGAUUCCUGUGGGAUCAAGUUCCCCUCUGAGGAUUCUUGAGAGCCGCCUUCCUGAAUCCUCACAAACACCUUCCUACCUACUUCCUUCCAUUAACAAUUACCUUUCCAUCUUUAUUUUUUUGCCUACGACAAGCACCCUUAACACACUCAUACCUGUUUCACCUUUCUUCCGUAAUAACCUAGAUUUUAUUUUCAUGUUGAGGAAAAACACUAUUUUCCACUAGGCUAUCUGCAGCUGGAGGAGGCCGUGAGUCACCGUUUUGAGCCUAGAGAUGUAAACAGAAGUUGCUGGGAAGAGCUUCUAGGAAGCCUCUGUAAGAUGAUUAUCUCAGUUGGGUCUGUCUUUUUGCUUUGUCCAUCCCUUUUUUAACUUUGGAGUGUGCGUGUGAUACAGGAGGUGAAGCAGUCAUUUUGUGACUAUGAGGAGAUAAAGCCACAUGGGUAAGUUGGCAGAGCAGGACACUGGGAGAAGCAUGUGCUUCUGUUGGCAAUGAGGGAUCAUCAUACUAUUCCUAAACAGUCUAAGUCCUGAGGUCUCGUGUGUGUUCUUACUUGUUCAUUACUCUACUUUUUCAGGUUGUAUAUUACUUACAGUUCAAUACAAUCUAAACCUUAACCAGUCAUUCUCCUAGUUAGACUGUGAGCUCCUAGAGGGAAGUUUGGCAUGUGAUAUGUUUCUUAUGGUCCCUGCAGUAUCUAGCACGUGCUAGUAGGGAUCAGGUAUGCAAUACUCAUCUAUUGAUUGAUUUGGGAUACAGUGAGUUGAGGUAAGAGAGAAACAGAAGUCAACUCCAACACGUCAAAGAAUAAAGUUUGCUGUUGGUCUCAACAGCCCCAGGGCAUCUUUACUGCAGUGUGAUCUCUCUCUCCUAUCCAGUGAGGCUCCAAAAUAUGGCUUUAAUUAUCCUUCCUAAGUUUUACAAAAUUCACUGAGCUUUUGUCUUUAAAACAGUAUUCCUUCCCCAUCUCUGGUGUGAAAAAAAAAUUACGACCAGAGUUUUACAUCUUUUUCUUUCCGAUAUUUCCAGAAAAGUAUGCCCUAGUCUAAUUUGCAGGUGGAAAUUGAAAAUGUAUCUCGCUGACCUCAAGGGAUGAUAUUCAGGAGCUUCAGGGAAUCUUCAGCUAAUGGGAGAAGCACAAGCAGAUUAAUGGAUCCCAAAGACAAAAUGCCUAUCCUAGCUCAAAUGACAUCUCGUGGAUCUUGAAAAGUGGAGCUUUCUGUGCCCAUCUUCAGAAAGAGACAUCAGACAAUCUUAACAUUUCUGCAGCUGAACAUGGGAUGAGAAGAGGGCAAUCUUCCAGUGGGUCCACCACAUUUUCUUUCCAAUUGAGCCAAUUCAUGGUCUCUUCUGGCAACUGCAAGGCCAGAUGUGAAUUUACCACUUUAUUGAGUGAAGCGGUCUGGGCAUUGUGAGACUCACAUAUGCACCCAGAGGGGAAGGGACCCUCACUCUGGGAAUGGAAAUCAAUUCAUAAUUGUACCCAGACAAAUGGGGCACACACUUCAGAUCUAUUACAGGAUUUAGUCGGAAUCAGAAGAACAAAGGCAUAAAGUAGAAACACAUUCAUAUGCCAGGCACAGGUAGGGGCUGGGGAGGGUAGAAAGUCCAGGGUUCCUGGCCGGCGAAGAAGGGCUCUGCUCAGCAUCUCAUGCUGGAGUGCAAGAGUAUAAAAUAAGGUAACUAAGGACAUGAAGCUUGGCCGCCUGCACCAUUUGAAAAAAGAAAAAUCAAACUGUGUUUUAUGAGUUUUUCUGGCUGAGUGGGCUGAUGGUAAAAGUGAUUGCAUAAGUGAAUAAAUUGAAAUAUGUAUCCUGGUUGUGUCAAAAGCAAAAAUAAUUAUUUUGUUCUUGGUGAGAUAUAGUGUUUAACUGCCAACACAUCAACCCAAAUAAAAAGGAAAUCUGCCUUUAGAUCUAGUAAUACAUUUAUUAACAAAUGAUGUAUCUGAAUUAUCCAUCGUUUUGAUCCACAUUUUGCAGAAAGGCA